rnacentral:rRNA from 1 species
UACGUAGGGCGCAAGCGUUGUCCGGAAUUAUUGGGCGUAAAGCGCUCGCAGGUGGUUCGUCGCGUCGUGCGUGAAAGACCCCGGCUCAACUGGGGAGGGUCGUGCGAUACGGGCGGACUGGAGGCCAGUAGGGGGGAUGCGGAAUUCCGGGUGUAGUGGUGGAAUGCGCAGAGUAUCAGGAGGAACACCGGUGGCGAAGGCGGCCUUCUGGACAGUGACUGACGCUGAGACGCGAAAGCGUGGGGAGCAAACAGG